UACGGGGGGGCAAGCGUUGUUCGGAAUUACUGGGCGUAAAGGGCGCGUAGGCGGCAAUUCAAGUCAGCUGUGAAAUCUCCGGGCUUAACUCGGAACGGUCAGCUGAUACUGCUUUGCUAGAGUGCAGAAGGGGCAAUCGGAAUUCUUGGUGUAGCGGUGAAAUGCGUAGAUAUCAGGAAGAACACCCGUGGCGAAGGCAGCUCGCUGGGACGUCACUGACGCUGAGACGCGAAAAGCGUGGGGGAGCAAACAGG
rnacentral:rRNA from 1 species